rnacentral:rRNA from 1 species
AGAGUUUGAUCCUGGCUCAGGACGAACGCUGGCGGUGUGCUUCACACAUGCAAGUCGAACGGAGUAGCAAUACUCAGUGGCGGACGGGUGAGUAACACGUGGGAAUCUACCAUUAGGUGGGGAAUAACAGGCCGAAAGGACUGCUAAUGCCGCAUAUGUAGGCAUCUCGACAGAGAUGUUUAUGAAAGGAGUAAUCCGCCUUUUGAUGAGCCCGCGUCCGAUUAGCUAGUUGGUAGGGUAAAAGCCUACCAAGGCGACGAUCGGUAGGUGGUCUGAGAGGAUGAUCACCCACAAUGGGACUGAGACACGGCCCAUACUCCUACGGGAGGCAGCAGUGGGGAAUUUUACGCAAUGGGGGAAACCCUGACGUAGCGACACCGCGUGAGCGAAGAAGCCCUUUGGGGUGUAAAGCUCUGUCAACAGGAACGAAACAAAUGACGGUACCUGUGGAGGAAGCAUCGGCUAACUACGUGCCAGCAGCCGCGGUAAGACGUAGGAUGCAAGCGUUGUCCGGAUUUAUUGGGCGUAAAGAGUUCGUAGGCGGUUUGUUAGGUCUGAUGUUAAAGACCGGGGCUCAACCUCGGAAAUGCAUUGGAUACUGGCAGACUGGAGUGCAGUAGAGGCUAGUGGAAUUCCCAGUGUAGCGGUGAAAUGCGUAGA